GUGGGGAAUUUUGGACAAUGGGGGCAACCCUGAUGGAGCAACACCGCGUGCUGGAUGAAGGCCUUCGGGUCGUAAACAGCUUUUGUAUACGAAGAAUAUGACGGUAAUAUACGAAUAAGGGUCGGCUAACUACGUGCCAGCAGCCGCGGUCAUACGUAGGACCCAAGCGUUAUCCGGAGUGACUGGGCGUAAAGAGUUGCGUAGGCGGCUUAUUAAGCGAGUAGUGAAAUCUGGUGGCUCAACCAUCAACACAUUGCUCGAACUGAUAGGCUUGAGAAUGGUAGAGGUAGUUGGAAUUUCUUGUGUAGGAGUGAAAUCCGUAGAUAUAAGAAGGAACACCAAUGGCGUAGGCAGACUACUGGACCAUUUCUGACGCUGAGGCACGAAAGCGUGGGGAGCGAACCGGAUUAGAAACCCGUGUAGUCC
rnacentral:rRNA from 1 species